UACGAAGGGGGCUAGCGUUGCUCGGAAUCACUGGGCGUAAAGCGCACGUAGGCGGGUCUUUAAGUCAGGGGUGAAAUCCUGGAGCUCAACUCCAGAACUGCCUUUGAUACUGAGGAUCUCGAGUCCGGGAGAGGUGAGUGGAACUCCGAGUGUAGAGGUGAAAUUCGUAGAUAUUCGGAAGAACACCAGUGGCGAAGGCGGCUCACUGGCCCGGUACUGACGCUGAGGUGAGAAAGCGUGGGGAGCAAACAGG
rnacentral:rRNA from 1 species